CCAGCCUUGGGAUCACCCUGCUGAGCAGAUCCCUGCAGUGCCUGGUCUCAGCCAUGCUCCUGAUCACAAUGCUGUAUAGCUUAUAGCUCCCUGGGCCCCUGACCUUUUCCUUUUUCUCCCCCUCCAGGCAUUUCUACUGCAGAAGAAUGUGACCUUGAGCAAGUAACUUCAUCCUUAUGGAUCUCAGUUUUCACAACCAUAAAGAUAGAAGUCAUAUGAAUGCAGCCCACACAGACUCAGAGAAAAAGGAGGGCCAUAGGUGUAAUGAUUGCGGCAGAAGCCAUUGGAGUGGGAUGAAGAGAGACUGAAAGAUCUAAAGACUAAGCCCUUCCUUCUCUUUGAAACGCUAGCCUACCAUGACCCUUCUUCUUCCUAUAGCAUCUGCAAUCUCAACCCGAGCGGGAUCUGAUUAGCAAGUCUCAUCGGAUCAUGUUUGUUUUCUUCUUUUGAGUCCCACAAUACUGAUGACAUAGUGAUGGUCAUGCUGAGGAGACUUAAUAAUUACUUGUUAACUGGCUCAAAAAGAAAGGUAUAUGAUUGUCACCAUUUCCUCUUAUAGACUAGCUGAGUUGGGUCGAAGCAAAUCAGGCAAUACCAGCUGUUAAGGGGUUAGACAGCAGAACUAUUGUUUCUGGAGACAGACACAUUUUCUGGUUUGGGUUUAUUUUUUUCUCACUUCUUAUGCCAACUGAAGCUUGGUCCAUUUUCUUUACUUCACUUCUUCAAGAAUUUUUUCAUCAAUCCUGCCUUGGAGAUACUGACAUCUUCCCUAAGAAAGCAGAGGGUUAUUUUUUAGAUGUUCUUUAAUGCCAUUGCUUAGAGGGCUUUCUGUUUUAUUUUUAAUGAAACAAAAAGUGCCAGAUCUGACAGGUAACGCUAGGGAGCCCAUAUUUCGUGCAAGGGAUCCCAGAAAUACCAAGUAGCUGUCGUGCUCGCUUCAAAGCUACUAUGCAGACCUUGUUUAUGCCUGAAAAACAGCAGAGGGAACUUGUUCUCAAAGGCCUCCCCAGCCUCAGUCAGACUGGCUGAAUGGACGUUAGAGUCUCAGUCUGACAGUUUCGAAAGGUUCUGUGUGCCACCUUCAACACUUAUUGAAGUUACAUGCAGAGGAAACAGAACUGGUCCAGAGAACUCUGUUGCCUGGCAACUGGACCACCAUGGGCAAACUGGUAAGGCAGGGGUGGGUAUCCACUCCUCCAUCUCCUCAAGGGCUCUGAUUCACCCUCCCAAGUUCCCAUGAUUUCCAGACACCAAAAUUAUCAGGCUAACCCACCCCUCCUCCACUGAUAGAGCAAAGUGUCCCUCAAGAAGUUUCCCAGUUCACAGCCAGCCUGGGCAAGGGCUGCCUCUUCUGAGGGCCCCAGACCACCCUACUCUCACCUCUAGCCAAGCACUGAUGAUGAUACUAGGUACUUCCCUCACUGCACUCGGAGCUCCCUGGGACUGGGGCUGUAUUGAAUUCACCUGUAUUUCCUUCAUUGGCCAGGCACACGUGGAUGGCCAAUGAAUGGCUUGUUAGACUCUAACAGCACAGGGAGACAGCACAUCCGACCCACCUGGAGAAAGCUCCAGCUCUGUUUGCAACUGCCUAAGCAGUCCCUUCAAUUUUUUUUUUUUUUUUUUUGACACUGAGUUUUGGUCUCGUUGCCCAGGCUGGAGUACAAUGGCAUGGUCUCCACUCACUGCAACCUCCGCCUCCUGUGUUCAAGUUAUUCUCCUGCUUCAGCUUCCUGAGAAGCUGGGAUUACAAGUGCCCACCACCACAUCCAGCUAAUUUUUGUAUUUUUAGUAGAGACAGGGUAUCUCCAUGUUGGUCUCUAACUCCUGACCGCAGAUGAUCUGCCCAUCUCGGCCCCCCAAAGUGCUGGGAUUACAGGUGUGAGACACCACACUCAGCUGGCAGUCCCUUCAUCUUUAAGGGACUUUUUCCUCAUCUGUGAAGAGAACACUAAAAAUAUCUACUUCCUGGCACUGGGAAAAGAGAAGGCAGUGCCUUCCUCUUUCAGCAGUGAAGGUAUUUCAGGCAUGAGUGAAAGACACUGGGUUUGCUUUGACUGGGGUAGGUAAUCAGAACCCUUAAUGACGGAAUAUGGACCAGAAGUCAGCAAACUAUGGCCUGAUGCCUAAAUCCUACCCACCAGCCAUUUCUGUAGGACAGGUAAGUUAGAAGGGCUUUUGUAUUUUUAAAUGGUUGAAAAAAAAUCAAAAGAAUAUUUUGUGAUACAUAAAAAUUAUAUAAAAUUCAAAUUACAGUGUCUAUAAAUAAAGUUUUAUUGGAAUACAGCCAUGCUCAUUUGUUUAAGCAUCAUCUGUGGAUGCUUUUGUGCCACACCAGGAGAGCUGAGUGUUUGUGACAGAGACCAUAUGGGCUGUAAAGCUAAAAAAUAUUUACUAAUUCAUUUUUUAACAGAAAAGUUUGCCAACUCCUGAUAGAGACCAUCUCUGUACUUGACCCAAGGCCACUCUUGUCAAAGGAUUAGAAUUAGUUAAGAUUUUAUUCUGGGAAUUUCACUUUAGUCCAUCCAGGCUGCUGUAAAAUACUAUAAACUAGGUAGCUGACAAAUAACAAAUUUAUUUCUCACAGUUCUGGAACCUCUAGAGGAGACACCAUACCCCCUCUGGAACCUGGGAAGUCCUAGAUCAAAGCACCAGCAGAUUUGGCGUGUGGUGAGGGUCCACUCUCUGGUUCAUAGACAGCCAUCUUCUCACUGGUGCCUCACAGGGUGGAAGGGAUAAAGGAACCCUCUGGGGUCUUGUGAUGGUUAAUACUGAGUGUCGAUUGGAUUGAAGGAUGCAAAGUAUUGUUCCUAGGUGUGUCUGUGAGGGCAUUGCCAAGGAGAUUAACAUUUGAGUCAGUGGACUGGGAGAGGCAGACCCACUCUCAAUGUGGGUGGGCACCAUCCAGUCAGCUGCCAGUGCAGCUAUAGAAUAAAGCAGGCAGAAGAAGGUGGAAGGAGCUGACUUGCUGAGUCUUCCAGCCUUCAUAUUUCUGCUGUGCUGGCUUCCUGCCCUCAAACAUGAAGAACUGUCCUAAGUUCUUCAGCUCUUGGACUUACACCAGCGGUUUGCUUGUAGCUCUCAGGCCUUCAGCCAUCGACAAGGCUGCAUUGUUGGCUUCUCUACUUUUGAUGUUUUGAGACUCGGACUGGCUUCCUUGCUCCUCUGCUUGCAGAUGGCCUAUUGUGGAACCUCACUUUGUUAUCAUCUUCUAGGUUUGACCACAUUCCUUGGCUCACGGCCUUUUCCCCUCAUCUCCAUCUUCAAAGCCAGAAACAAUGGUGUAAAGCUGGUUGCUUCUCCAGGAGCUUGGACAUGCCCAUCCCUCUCCAUGCCUGAAAAUUAUGUCACCAGAAUCUGCACUCAACACUAAACUUUGCACUCGGCACCAAUGCCCACUUCUGCACUCCGCACCAGAAUCUGCACUCAACACUAAACUCUGCACUCGGCACCUAGCCAGCUGUUGGAAAACCCGCCAAAAUUUAAAAGAAGCCCUGCCAAAACCUGCCCAAUAGCACAGCCCACUCACUGGAAAUCCCGCCUACCUACCAAUAGCAGCUCACCCCAUCCAAGUCCUGUUUCUCCACAGCCAAUUAGGACGCCUUCCCUCCCUGUAAAACCCCAGGCUGGAGAGGAGUCAGGCACGACUUCCCUGGCCCCUUUCCCCGGGACCACAGAACCUCGUCUGGGAGUUAAAUA